UUUAUUUAUGGUUAAACUCCCAUGGCACUGUAACCAGAUUCCCCGGCUGGCAGGAGGGCGGGGGAGUGAGGAAAGGCGCCCACUUUCCUUUGGUUUUCUCUUACCUCUUCCUGAUUUUUUUUCUUUUGACCCUAGCAUCUCUUUCCAUCUUUAAAUUCAGAUUCACAAAAUGGUUGCUCCCAGGGCUACACAAGAUUGCAAAACACUCUGCCUUGGAUUCACUUCUCCGUUUUGCUUUCAUUUCAAGAGAACAUAGAUAACAGCAUUGUGAUAUUUCUUGGAGAAGGUCUAUAUUUAUUCUAACCAUUUUCUCAUUGCUUAAAAUAUUUUGAAGCUCCCUUUUUCAAAAGUUGAUUUCGAGCCAGGUUUAGAGUGAGCUACAAAGAUGCAAAAACGUCAGUGUCGGUAAGUUUAUAACGGGAUGUUUGUGAAGCCUGGCAGUGUCGCCAGCACAGCAUAGGAGCGUAAACGAGCCUCCGCGGUUUCUCUGUAGGUCAAGGUGAAAGCCCUCGGUCACAGUCUCUGUGCACAUCUCUCCAGACUGUUAAUUUUGCUCUACUGACCCUUACCAAUGAAAACGUGGGCCUGUUUCAGCUGAUUCACUGGCAUCUCAGUCCACCUCUCUCCCUCACUGUACCAACAAACCACCAAGUGCCCCGUGUCCCUCUGUCCUGCUGUAUCGGUGUCAGCUGAAACCUCAGGGAAUCAGCUGCCCAGAGGGAACUAGACAUGCAAGAGAGGUGAUAGGGGAGGCACUGGCGAGGGAAAAGGGCGGGAGUGGCCCUGACACUGGCAGGAUUGGGCAGGAAGAGUCCCCGAGGGCAGCACUGUUCUGAGAAAGCCCUGCCAGGCCAGGGGCAGCCACCAAGCAGAAGCCUUUAGUCAGAGGAGUCUCAGAAAGAGGAGGCGCUGCUCGGGGUUGCGUGUUCACCGGGGAACAGCCAGGGAGAGUGUGGACACCCACGGGGAGGUUCUGGGCUACCAGUGGAGGAUGGCUGUGCUGUGGGUCCCUUGGAAGGAGUGCUGAGGACACCUGCAGGCCACCAGCCCCCCUGCACCACACACAGCCCCUUGCAGCGUGUGUUCGGGGAGCAGCUCCCCCUUCGUUUCUUGAGCCUCUCAUCUUGGAAGAUACUUAGAAGAGGGGCAGUAGGACUAACCACGAGCCCUGGUGCUGCCACUGGCUGGGACCGCCGGGGUUUGCUCCUGUUCCCCACCUUCCUCCUGAGAGCCCUGAGCCUGGAGGACCACACCCUCCUCAGGACCCUCACUCAUGGGGGAGGAGCCAAGCGGAGCUGGCUUUCACACACUCCUCCUGGACCCAGUGCAAACCAGCCUGUCCUCGGCUGGGGAUCGAGGUCAGUGAAUCCCUCCAAACAGAAACACUUUGUCCCACUCCUGUCCCCAGACACAGGCAUCAAAGGAUCCUGGUGGCAGCUGUGACUUGUGGCACACGGGGACUCCUGGUGAUACCCCUCGUAGGAUCUGAACUUCCAGCCCUACAGAGUCCAGAGUUGCAGGGACAGGAAGCCCAGUGGGUCACUGCAGUGACAGUAGCCUCGUGUAGGAACAUCUGCUCGGCCAGCCUCCUCCUGCCUCCCGACUCUGCCUGGGCUCGUCCGAUACACCAGCUGAUGGGCUGAUGCUGAGCCAUCCAACUUUGUGACCUGGUGGACCCCCAGAUCCAGAUCAUAGCGGGCAGUUCCAGAGGGUCAACUGGUACCUCAAGGUCGAGUGAUUGACCUUGGAGAGUCUGCUUCUCCAAGGAUGCAUAGUCCCUGCUGUAGCUGGCUCUGCGGCAGUCCCCAGUGCCUACAUAGGAAUUGUCCCCUGAGCUGGAUGUGACCACAUCACACCUCCUCCCCCCAUUGACACCACAGCGCUGCAGCCACUUCUCUGGGAGGAGACCCCAGUGGCCACCACCAGGCUGGAGCAGCACCUCCCUCCUCCCCGUAGCCUUGGGGCCUUCCUGCAGACUCCUUCCCGAGAGUCAGGCAGCCUGAGCUCCCGGCCCAGAUCAUGCUGAUUGUAAGUUAAAUUGUGUCCCUUAAAGAACACGUGGAAGCCCUU